rnacentral:rRNA from 1 species
AUGGAUCAGGAGCUCCAAGAAGCCGACGUCCUCUGGCCUCAGCACAACUCCGACCACCGCCGCGACGGCGACGACGGCAGCAACGUCGACGGGGACAUAACAAAGCUAUCCUCGCCGGAGCUGUCUGCCCCGGUCCCCGUGCCUCACCGGAAGCGGCGGUCUCGCUCCUGGUCGACGUCCGACGGGAGCGGCAGUGGCAACGACGACUGCAGCGACGGCGACGUCCGAUGCACCAACGACGCAAAGAGGAACGUGCCGCCGCACGUCCUGGCCGAGCGGCGGCGGAGGCUCGCCGGGAGGUCGACGGCGGCCUACUCCAUGUGCAGCGGGAAAGGGAGGACGCUCAAAGGGCGGGACCUCCGCAACAUCAGGAACCUCGUCCUCAGGUUGACCGGAUUCAUCGAGAAAUGA